rnacentral:rRNA from 14 species
UGGAGAGUUUGAUCCUGGCUCAGAUUGAACGCUGGCGGCAGGCCUAACACAUGCAAGUCGAGCGGUAGAGAGAAGCUUGCUUCUCUUGAGAGCGGCGGACGGGUGAGUAAUGCCUAGGAAUCUGCCUGGUAGUGGGGGAUAACGUUCGGAAACGGACGCUAAUACCGCAUACGUCCUACGGGAGAAAGCAGGGGACCUUCGGGCCUUGCGCUAUCAGAUGAGCCUAGGUCGGAUUAGCUAGUUGGUGGGGUAAUGGCUCACCAAGGCGACGAUCCGUAACUGGUCUGAGAGGAUGAUCAGUCACACUGGAACUGAGACACGGUCCAGACUCCUACGGGAGGCAGCAGUGGGGAAUAUUGGACAAUGGGCGAAAGCCUGAUCCAGCCAUGCCGCGUGUGUGAAGAAGGCCUUUUGGUUGUAAAGCACUUUAAGCGAGGAGUAG